UACGCAGGGGGCUAGCGUUGCUCGGAAUUACUGGGCGUAAAGCGCACGUAGGCGGUCUUUUAAGUCGGUGGUGAAAUCCUGGAGCUCAACUCCAGAACUGCCUUCGAUACUGGAAGACUUGAGUCCGGGAGAGGUGAGUGGAACUGCGAGUGUAGAGGUGAAAUUCGUAGAUAUUCGCAAGAACACCAGUGGCGAAGGCGGCUCACUGGCCCGGUACUGACGCUGAGGUGCGAAAGCGUGGGGAGCAAACAGG
rnacentral:rRNA from 1 species